rnacentral:lncRNA from 1 species
UGGACAGUAAGAUAGAAAGUUCCCUAAAGGUAGAGUCAGUCGUUGAAUUGUGGAGAUCUUUAUGUCAGUCCAUGGUCAAUAAAACAAUGCAGAAAAUCAAAUGUUUUAUAAGCUAACUCCAUAUAUAGAUUAUCUGCAAAAGGUAACCAUGUAAAAUUUGUUAUUCAAAGAUGGCAUGCAACAACGACUUUUGACCAAUGAGAUUUCAGUCUUCUUUGUUCUUGUUUAGCGGUUCUACUCUUCAUUUUCCGAAAAAAUGAAGGACUGGCCUCCUAGCAUCCCCACCUUCGGAUGCACACGUCCAUGCCUUAAUUGCUGCAAAACAUGAAGACAUAAUUAAUAGGUUGAAAAAACAUGAGAUCAACAUAUGAUCUCAUGACAACCGACAUCUCGAAAUGCUACCACAAACCUAUCAGUAGAAAAAAAACACUGACGGAACUCCGAAGCCUAACAAAGGUAGCACUAAAGGACAACAACUUAAAUAAGUAAUCGUGUUUGUACGCCGAUGUAAACAGCCGUUGGUGUUCCACUAGCUAGACAUUUCACCUAGCCUUCACUAUCUUGCUUAAAUCACAACAAAAAUGACCAUCAAUAGAGAUUUGACAUGAAUAUCAAUAGAAACCAAUAACUAGACAAUAAACAAUUUGACAUAUAUCUUUGCUGGAUCUCUCAAUUCUGAUAGCAAUUAAAAAAAGAAUGUGUUCAUCUAAUUGGUCAGAUUAAGCCAAAUCUUAAACUAAAAAAAUCAAUACAAUUUCUGAAAUGUAGUGCAGUAUUGGUGAUAGUGCAAAAUGGUCUUCAGACCAAACAUAACCGAUGCAUGUAACACUCCAUAAAAGAAAGGUAAAACCUUAUAAUCAAUGUAUGAUGUGAUUUGUUUUCCUUGAGAAAUCAUGUACUGUCCUGCUGCGAAAAAACUCCAACAUGUGAGUAGCAGACACUUCAUCCUAAGCAGUUCCUUGAUAUCAGAAUUUAAUUUAUGGUUACAACCAAUAAGAAGAGAUGGUUUCAUAAUUAAAAGAACCUGAACUAAUUCUAGUUUUACAGUAUAGCAGCUGAUUGACCAAAAGUUUGUUAGUUAUUCCUAGGAAUAUCUAUGUCAGAACACCUAGAGUCCACUGCCUAGAAGCAAGAAAUCGGGACUGGAGUGAGCAAGGGGAGAAGAAUGAACUUGUGCAGAGAAAAGGUAAAGGUGGUGCAUAUCUUGCCAUGGGAAGGACAUAGUAGCACAAAAGAAAUGAGGAUGAUCCUGUUAGGACAACUGUUUUUGCUGUAGGAAUCUACGGCGUGAAAUAGCUGGCCUGAAGCAUUUUCAGGGAAAAAAUUAAAUUCAAAGGAAUUUAACAAGCAAUCACGAGGUCAUGGAAGUUAUUAUGACUAAUGUUAUGACCGGCGUCACUUAUAGCCGGAGAAGGCCCAAUGGGCGCGUCUAGUUAGUGGCUUAGCCCAACUUAUCUUAUUUUUAUUAGCAGCAAGGAUUAUAUAAACAGUUGUAAGGCCACCUUUUGAACUUAAGCAAUAAGUCAUAACUAACCCGGCUCCCCUUAGGAGCCGGAACCCUAAACCCUAGCCGCCUCUCUCUCACCGCCGCCUCCUCCUCACGCAAACACGACGCCGUCGCGCUGCCGGCCGCGCUCAACCUCUCGCCAUCCACCUUCCACCCCUACAACCUACGGUCUAGGCCUGGUAGAACCCUAGUUCCUAGCAAUCUGGUAUCAGGUAGCUCUGAUUCGAUCAUGUUCGUGCCGCAGCCCACCCCGUCCCUCCCGCUGCCGACCACGUCGUCGUCUCCGCUGACCACCACGGCCGCCGCCCCGCUUCUUCCCGCGCCGGUCUCCUCCGGCGCGCCUGCCCCCGCCGUCCUCACACCGGAGGAGGUGUCCGGGGCGUUGCGGGAUCUCGCCUAGGCGGUCCAGGGCAUCCGGCUGUACCUGGACGAGCCCUACGGGCCGCAACCAGCCGCGGCGCCCGUCGCCACCACCGGGCCGUCGUGACUGCCGUGGCAGUCGUCGCCCCUGGCGGCGGAGGCCGCCGCGUUCGCCGGGCCGCUGCAGCUGCCGCCGCCACCACCUGCCAGCUCCGGGCUGGCCCUUACCGCGGAGGCGGGGGUUCCAUUCCAGCAAGUCAGCCCCCCCCCCCACCGUCACUGUUACCGGCCUGGUUGGCCGGGUCUUUGCAGCCGGUCUACACGAUGGCUUCGGGGCCACCUCACGUCCAGUCGCCGCCGGCGCCACUUCUGCAGUACGGCGGGCCCUCCAGCUUUGUUGGCCCUUCCGCCGGCCUCGACGGUCCUCCGUUCCACGGGGGGGCCUCCAUGGCCACCGACUCGGUGCCGCCCCCCUCGCUGCUCCGCGCUGACGAGGCGUUCCCAACGGCGGCCAUAACCACACGCCGCCGCGCUUCGCCAAGCUCGACUUCGCCACCUACGACGGCACCGAGGACCCUCUGAGAUGGCUUAAUCAAUGUGACCAGUUUUUUCGGGGGCAACGCACGCUCGCGUCGGACCGCACCUGGCUCGCGUCGUAUCACCUCCGAGGCACCGCACAAACUUGGUAUUAUGCUCUCGAGUAGGAUGAGGGCGGCAUACCCCCAUGGGAGCGUUUUUGCAAGCUCUGCCUCUUAUGCUUCGGGCCGCCGAUGCGCGGAGCCAACUGGCGGAGCUUGGCCGCCUACCCUUCACCUCCACGGUGCAGGACUGCGCCAACCGCUUCCAGGCCCUGGCGUGCCACGCGCCCGGCGUGACGGCUCGCCAGCGGGCCGAGCUCUUCGUGGGCGGUCUGCCGGAUCAUAUCCGUGUGGAUGUGGAGCUGCGAGGACCUGAGGACCUCCAGACGGACAUGUAUUAUGCCCGCGCCUUCGAGCGUCGCGCGCAGGCCUUGCAGCAGGCGUCGGCGGCUCGGGGCGCCCUACAGCUAGCCAGGCCGCCCCCGACACCACCAGUGUCGAGGCGUCCGCCUCCGUCCUCUACAACGACAAACGCUCCGGCCGCAACAAGACCCUUCUGCCAAGCUCACCCCGGCCGAGCAGCUCGAGUGUCGUCGCCAGGGGCUAUGCUAUAACUACGACGAGCCCUACGUGUCGGGCCACGUCUGCCCGCAGCUCUUCUACUUGGAGGCGGCCGACUACAUUGAGGAGGACACCGUCACCGACGGGCUCGGCGACUUGCCCGCCCCAGCUGCUGCGGAGGUCGCACCGGUGCCCGCUCCGGCGACGGCUCUCGUGGUCACCCUCCAUGCCCUCGCGGGUAUACGAGCGGAGCAGACUAUGAUCCUGCCGGUGAUGAUCAACGGCGAGCGCCUCAUGGCCCUCCUGGAUACGGGCUACACCUAUAACUUCCUGCCCGAGUUGACCAUGCGCCGCUUGGCACGAGCAGGGAGCAGCUCCGAGUCACUGUGGCUAACGGCGACCGCCUUCGAUGUCAUGGGAUUGCACGGAACGUCCCCAUCACCAUCGGCGACGGGCACUUCACCAUCACGUGCGCCGGCAUCGACUUGGGCUGCUUCGACUUCAUCCUCGGCGUCGACUUCUUGCGGACCCUGGGUCCCAUCCUCUGGGACUUCGACGCCAUGACGAUGAUCUUCUGGCGCCUGGGUCACCGCGUCCGGUGGGAGGGCGUGGGUGGCGCCUCACCAGCGGCGCUGCAUCUGCAGCUGACGGCUACUACUGCAGGGCCCGAGCAUCCCCUGUUGGAUCAGCUCUUGCAGCAGCACCGCGACCUCUUCGACGAGCCCCAGGGCCUUCCGCCAGCUCGGGCGUACAACCACCGCAUUCAUCUACUGCUGGGCACAGCCCCUAUGGCGGUCCGCCCUUACCGCUACCCUCAAUUGCAGAAGGACGAGAUGGAGCGGCAGUGCGCGGUCAUGCUCACCUUGGGCAUCAUCCGGAUCUCUACCUCGUCGUUUUCGGCGCCGGUCCGCCUUGCGGACGACAUGUGGCGUUUCUGCAUGACUACCGUGCUCUUAACGCCCAGACGCUCAAGGAAAAAUUUCCCAUUCCGGUCGUCGACGAGCUUCUGGACGAGCUACAUGGGGCACGCUUCUUCACCAAGCUCGACCUCCGUUCAGGCUACCACCAAGUGCGGAUGCACCCAGACGAUGUCGCGAAGACGGCGUUUCGGACUCAUCACAGCCACUUCAAGUUCUUGGUAAUGCCUUUUGGUCUCUCCAACGCCCCGGCGACCUUUCAAGCCUUGAUGAACGAUGUUCUCCGUCCCUACUUGCGCUGGUUUGUGCUUGUUUUCUUUGAUGACAUUCUUAUCUACAGUGACUCGUGGGCGGAGCACCUUCAGCACGUCGCCAUCAUCUUUAACGAGCUUCGAGCGCACCAUCUUCACCUCAAGCGCUCGAAGUGCUCGUUCGACACGCCUUCGGUCGCCUACCUCGGCCACGUAAUCUCGGUCGAGGGUGUCGCUAUGGAUGCUGACAAGGUGGCGGCUUUCAUGGCCUGACCGAUGCCGCACUCGCCGCGGGCCCUACAAGGCUUCCUGGGCCUCGCGGGGUACUACCGAAAAUUUAUCCGAGAGUUUGGCGUCAUCGCAUCCCCGCUCACACGCCUGUUGCGCCGCGACGCCUUCGCCUGGGAGGUUGGGAUGUUGAUGCGACCGAGGCGUUUGAGGGCCUCAAGCGGGCCCUCACUACGGGUCCAGUCCUCCAGAUGCCCGACUUCGACAAGCCGUUCAUAUUGGACUGCGAUGCCUCGGGCAUGGGGUUUGGCGCCGUCCUUCAUCAGGGCGACGGGCCGCUUGUGUUCUUCAGCAGGCCCUUCGCCGCGCGCCAUCAUAAGCUCGCGGCCUAUGAGAGGGAGCUCAUUGGCUUGUGCAGGCCGUGCACCACUAGCGGUCGUAUCUCUGGGGGAGGCCGUUCCGUAUCCACACGGAUCAUUACAGCCUCAAGUUCUUAUUGGACCAGAGGCUUUCCACCGUGUCGCGGCAUCAGUGGAUCAGCAAGCUCUUUGGCUUCGACUUCACCGUCGAGUAUCGUCCGGGCCGCCUCAACACCGUGGCCGACGCACUAUCCCGCCGCGACGCCGACCACGACUCGGACGUCGUCGACUCCGUGGGGGCGGCCCUCUGCAUUCGCUCGGGGCCCUCCUUCGCCCUCAUUGACGACAUUCGCAGGGCCACCGCGGAUGCUCCGGACGCUCAGCUCCUUCGGCAGCACCUCGACGCUGGCAACCUGGAGGAGCCGUGGCGCUUGGCGGAUGGCUUGCUCCUGCAUAGGCGCCGACUCUUCAUGCCGGAUCACGGCGACCUCCAUUACCAGGUACUGCUGCUGGCACACUCAGUCGGCCACGAGGGCGUGCAGAAGACCCUCCACCGUCUCCGCGAUGAUUUCUACAUCCCCAGCGACCGGGCCCUAGUACGAGGUUGGGUGCAGUCUUGCCUGACAUGCCAGCGCAACAAGACGGAGACGCUGCGACCGGCCGGGCUGCUCCAGCCCCUGGAGGUUCCCUCUCAGGUAUGGGCCGACAUAUCCAUGGAUUUCAUCGAGGGCCUUCCCAAGGUGGGCGGCAAGUCCGUCAUCCUUACGGUGGUCGAUCGUUUCUCCAAGUACGCGCACUUCAUCGCGCUCGGCCAUCCCUACACUGCCGCAUCCGCGGCGCGUGCCUUCUUAGACGGCAUCGUCCGCCUCCACGGGUUCCCCUCAUCGAUCGUCAACGACCGGGACCCUGUGUUCAUGGGGCAUGUCUGGUGCGAUCUCUUCCAGAUGGCGGGCGUGAAGCUGCGCCUGAGUACAACCUUCCGUCCUCAGACAGAUGGCCAAUCUGAGGUGGUCAACAAGGUGAUUGCAUGUAUUUGUGUUGUGUUGUGAUCGUCCCCGUGCUUGGGUGGACCGGCUCGCAUGGGCUUAUCCUGUUCCAGGCACACAACUUUGCCGUGCUGGGUAACAAGCUUGUGAACCAUGAUAGUACGAUUGUUUUUUGGGGGGUAUGAGCUGUUUUUUUUAUUAUGGCAUGUACCGAUGGGAUUUGCGUGUAUAAACACCUUGUAUGUUGGUCAAUUAGGCCCCCAUUCAAUGCAAAGUGUUAUUUACCAAUGUCUUGCCAUUUGCAAGUUUUCGCUGGGAACUUUGUUUGCUCUAACUUCCCAUAUGCCCAUGGCCCACCUAUGAUCUUGUGUAUACAUUAUGAAUUUGGUUUUCUUUCAAGUUCCAUGGCCGCAAUACUACUUUGCGUUUACUAGAGCACCCAUGACUCGAGCAUAACUGCAACACAUUUACUAGAACACCAACUAUCAUGUUCUCAGCCCCAAUUCCAUCCACAACUUGUAGAACAAAAAUGACAUUAACAUUUUUCUAAAAUGGCACACCUUCAAAGAUCACAUCUCAGGCUUAGUCGAGUGCAAUUCUAGGGAUCAACAUUUUCAAAAUUAUCAGGCAACUAAGCAAAAUCGUAUUUUUAUAGCUGGACAGUAAGAUAGAAAGUUCCCUAAAGGUAGAGUCAGUCGUUGAAUCGUGGAGAUCUUUAUGUCAGUCCAAGGUCAAUAAAACAAUGCAGAAAAUCAAAUGUUUUAUAAGCUAACUCCAUAUAUAGAUUAUCUGCAAAAGGUAACCUUCAUGUAAAAUUUGUUAUUCAAUGAGAUGGCAUGCAACAACGACUUUUGACCUUUGAGAUUUCAGUCUUCUUUGUUCUUGUUUAGCGGUUCUACUCUUCUUUUUCCAAAAAAUGAAGGACUGGCCUCAUAGCAUCCCCAUCUUCGGAUGCACACGUCCAUGCCUUAAUUGCUGCAAAACAUGAAGACAUAAUUAAUAGGUUGAAAAAACACGAGACCAACAUAUGAUCUCAUGACAACCGACAUCUCGAAAUGCUACCACAAACCUAUCAGUAGAAAAACCCCACUGGCGGAACUCCGAAGCCUAACAAAGGUAGCACUAAAGGAC